GGAGUUAGCCGGUGCUUCUUCUGUGAGUGAUGUCCUUCCUGCCGGCUAUUAACCCGCAGGCCUUCUUCCUCACUGAAAGUGCUUUACAACCCGAAGGCCUUCUUCACACACGCGGCAUGGCUGGAUCAGGGUUGCCCCCAUUGUCCAAUAUUCCCCACUGCUGCCUCCCGUAGGAGUCUGGGCCGUGUCUCAGUCCCAGUGUGGCUGAUCAUCCUCUCAGACCAGCUACGGAUCGUCGCCUUGGUGAGCCGUUACCUCACCAACCAGCUAAUCCGACAUAGGCUCAUCCGAUAGCGCGAGGCCCGAAGGUCCCCCGCUUUCCCCCGUAGGGCGUAUGCGGUAUUAGCCUGGGUUUCCCCACGGUUAUCCCCCACUACCGGGCAGAUUCCUAUGCAUUACUCACCCGUCCGCCGCUCGCCACCAGGGAGCAAGCUCCCCGUGCUGCCGCUCGACUUGCAUGUGUUAGGCCUGCCGCCAGCGUUCAAUACUGAGCCACUGAUCAAACUACUGA
rnacentral:rRNA from 1 species